CGAAGGGUGCAAGCGUUACUCGGAAUUACUGGGCGUAAAGCGUGCGUAGGUGGUUUGUUAAGUCUGCUGUGAAAGCCCUGGGCUCAACCUGGGAAUUGCAGUGGAUACUGGCUGACUAGAAUGUGGCAGAGGGUAGCGGAAUUCCUGGUGUAGCAGUGAAAUGCGUAGAGAUCAGGAGGAACAUCCGUGGCGAAGGCGGCUACCUGGGCCAACAUUGACACUGAGGCACGAAAGCGUGGGGAGCAAACAGGAUU
rnacentral:rRNA from 1 species